CACACGCACACAUAUAGACACACAUAUAUACAUAUAUAUGUAUAUAUACACAUACGUAUAUACGUAUUUUUUUUAACAAAUCCUUGUAAAACAGAUUUUGGACUUACUUUGCAGGCUUUGCCAAAUGACCUUUUUACCCUCAUGUAUAUUGCAUUUUCUUUGGAUAUUCUGAUGAAUUCUCAAGGGGAUUGUAUUCCUGUAUUUUACUGUUCAUGAGUUUAGAUGUGUGUUUACUUCCCUGAGUUGUCAUUUUCUUUUUCUUCUGUCGUAUGUAAUUUACAGAGCAAAUACCCACCAGAACGGAUAACUUGGAUGUGGAAAGUCCAGAUUUUGGAUGAAUCUCUCUAGAGGUUGAACAGAGCUGGGGCUGGAUCCCUCAGCAACGAGGAGACCUGAAAACCAGAGGAAAAAAAGCAGGUACUCCCUGUAAACCACUCAUCUGUGCUCUCUUCCAAUUUAUUCUCCUUUUGUUUACAUCAUUUUAAGGGGCUAUAAUCAUCUUGUUUAGACCUCAGGAUAUAAAAUGACCCACCUGUAGACCUCCAGCCGUAUCCCAAAGUUGUCUGUUUUUUUUGUUUUGUUUUUUUAAUUACUGCCAGGUUUCAACUGUAGAUAACCCCUGAGGAAAUAUUCCAGAUUCCCUGAGUAGUUUCCAGGCUAAAGUCCUAUAGGCUUCUUCUGUUUUCAGGAGGCGUUCCCAUCAGAGAAAGACCUGAUUUUGGAUUUUUAGCUUUAAUGCUUGCGAAAAGCUAUAAAAAUAAUUUUCUACCCCUAGCUUUAAAGUACUGUUAGUGAUAAAUUAAAAUUCCUUCAGGAGGAUUAAACUGCCAUUUUAUUUACCCUAAUUCCAAACAUUUUGGUUGUUAGAAUUUUCUUUCAUGUUCAUAAAGAAGUAUUUUAUAUUUUCCAUCAAGAUUCAUUCUCUUUAGCAGGUCAUUUUGAACUUUACUUUCUUAAAUACCCAAAUUUGGUUUUUCCUCAGUCUUCUCUCUGCUACGGAUUUCUAACUUAACAAGAAAGGCAACUUUCCAUCAAAAAGGGCAAAGAAUAGAGGGGACAGUAGAGGGCACCUUCAAACCCAGCAUGAAAAUGAGGUUCCUGCUUCAAAAUGAAGCAUCACAGCAAUCUUGGGUUUUUGAUUUGGGCCCUCAUUUCUCUUAUAAUUUGAACUUGUAUUGGAGAGAAAAGGCCUGUUUCUUAAGCCAGCCAGUUUUCAUACUGGAUAUUUAUAUAUCAUUUCAUUUGUUCCUAAGUGUAUUUCUCAUUUCUGUUACGAUUUGUUCUGUGGGUUGUCAGUGACUUAGCGGUAUGUUUUUCACAUGUUUAUAAAGCUGAAUAGUUCUGUAUGUCAGCUCAGCACCCCUAGUGUCAGCCAUGCUCCUCUCCUGCUUCGCAUAGAUGGGGCCUGUCCACACCCGAAUCUCCUGGGUUCCCGCUGUCAGCACCUGAAGGUACCCACCAGAUGUGUCUGUCACUUCCCUCCAUCCACCUCUCUUGUGGUUCUCGUAUUUCUGCCUCCCCAGAGACCAUUUCUCUCUGGAGCAGAGGUUUCCAGUAGAAAUACAAUGCCAGACACAUACGUCAUUUUAGAUUUUCUAGUAGUCACUUUAGAAAAGUUAAAAAGAGGCUGGGUAUGGUGGCUCACGCCUGUAAUCCCAGCACUUUGGAAGGCCGA